rnacentral:RNase_P_RNA from 1 species
CGAGCCGGCCGGGCGGCCGCGUCGGGCCGCACCAGCGGACCCGCCGAGGAAGGUCCGGGCUCCGAAGGGCAGGGUGGUGGGUAACACCCACCCGGGGUGACCCGCGGGACAGUGCCACAGAAAGCAAACCGCCGCGCGGCUUCGCGCGGUAAGGGUGAAACGGUGGUGUAAGAGACCACCAGCGUCCGAGGUGACUCGGACGGCUCGGCAAACCCCACCCGGAGCAAGGUCAAAAGGCGGCGGACGCCGUGAGGUGGCCGUCGCUGCGCAGGCGUUCGAGGGUGGCCCGCCCGAUGCCUGCGGGUAGACCGCUAGAGGCUGUCGGCAACGGCAGCCCGAGAGGGAUGGCCGCCCGUCGCGGAAAUCCGCGACGACAGAACCCGGCCUACAGGCCGACUCGCCCG